UUCGUCAUCACUCUCUGCUUCAGCUACAGACCAGCAAAAAUGGAGUCGUCUCUGCAAAUUCGCCGAAUUAACGAAAUUCCCUCGCCGGAGGAAUUCGCCUCUCAGAUUGAACGGAAGAAUGUUCCUGCAGUCUUCAGUGGUUGUGCCAAGGAGUGGAAAGCAUUUUCGAGAUGGAAUGUGUCAAAUGGCGGCCUCGACUACUUGCAGGAAUUGGUGGGAUCGUCCAUUGUGGAAGCUAUGCUAUCCAGAUCUGCACCUGUAUUUUAUGGAGAUAUUCGAGCUCAUGAAAGGGUUCCUUUGCCGUUUUCUACCUUUAUUGGUUACUGCAAAGAUCUUCUACAAUGCGAGGAUGAUGGCGAAGACCCCAUUUCUCAAUUAAGAAAGCAUGAACCAACGGAAGUUGCUACCCAACAAGGUGAUUUUGCAACGGGAGAAGAAUCUCCAAAGCAAAUCUAUUUAGCACAGGUUUCCAUUGUAAAUACUGAAAAUGAGGAAAAGAGUCAGCUGGAAUGCCUUAGAGAUGACAUUGAAACGCCUGCAUUUCUGGAAAACAAAAUUCUGGCUUCUAUCAAUUUGUGGAUGAACAUUGCCAAGAGUAGAUCUAGUACUCACUAUGAUCCGCACCAUAAUCUUCUAUGCAUAAUUUCAGGCUGUAAACAAGUUCUUUUAUGGCCCCCUUCCGCAUGCCCCUUCUUAUAUCCGUUGCCUGUGUAUGGAGAAUCAUCAAACCACAGUGCAAUUCCAUUGGAAAACACCAAUUUUAGCCUCUAUCCAAGGGCAAAGUCAAUUGUUGAGUACUCUCGGAAGGUUACCCUUCAUGCAGGGGAUGCAUUGUUCAUUCCUGAAGGAUGGUUCCACCAAGUGGACAGUGAAGAUUUAACUAUAGCUGUCAAUUUCUGGUGGCAGUCUGACAUGAUGUCUGGCAUGCCAGAACACAUGGAUGCUUAUUAUCUACGUAGAAUAUUGAAAAGAUUAACUGACAAAGAAAUGGAUCGAAUGCUCUCUAUGCCUUCAACUUCCAAGGUGAACCAUAUGAUUGGUGCAAGUGGCCAGUCUAGUAAUGAAAAUGCAGAUUUGAAUUUGAACCAUCAGGAAGUAGGUGGAGAAGAAAAGCUUGAGCCAGGGUUUUCAUUACGGGAACUGGAACCACAUGAACUUAGAUCUCUUCAUGAACUCAUUUCCUUAGUCCAUGAACAAAUCAACUGCCAGCCAGCAGGCAACAUCGCAGCAGACCAGUCUGCCUGUAGAGAGGAAGUCGUGAAGAAAUUGGAUAAAGCAAAUUUACAUAACUUAGAAGAUGAUCCAAUUGCUAAUACCGUUUGGAACCUAGAACCACAUGUCUUUCAAAUUGUCUUUCUCACCAUGGCACACAAUUUUCCAAGGACAUUGGAGGCUUUUGUAUUGCAUGCGCUCUCCCCUGUAGGAGUUGAAGUCCUUACCAGGAAAUUCGAGCAGAUGGAUCAAAGGAUUGCUCCAGAUGAGCGGAGUCAGUUUUACCAAAAGUUCUAUAGCGUGUUUGAUAACCAGUUCUCUGCCAUGGAUGCUCUUUUGAAUGGGAAAGAGUCUUUUGCAUGCCAGGCAUUCAAUAAUGUGCUGGUCCAAUAUCUGGGACUUAAUCUUGAUGGGCCAAAACCAUCGCUGCAGUAGGAAUGACUGACCGAUAAUGUUCAGAGACUGUUGAUUAUUUAUAGUCUUGGCUUGCGAAACAUGCCAAAUUGGAAAGACGAAAGAGUGCCAUCUUGGUUUCGAAUUAUACAUCCAAAAACUGAUAGUAACAUAAUUUUGAAGUUGGGCUGAGAUAUAUUUGCCUUACUCUUUAUUCGUUGCCGUGGUGACACUCAAAUGUUGUGUGGAGGACUACUAUUAUUCUGCAUGGGGAUUUGCAGUAGAUGGGAAAAGAUAAUAAAACAAAAUGAAAGAAGGUUUAGUAAUUAUUUGCUUUGGAAGAAAGAAGAAAAGGAAUAAAAGGUAGGCCUGUGGAGAUGAGAUUCCCUUAUGAAACAUGACAUAUGCAACUUAUAGAGAGAGAAUAGAAUAGAAGCUUUAGUUUUUGUCCUGUUCUGCUGCAUAACAUAACGUAGCAUAGCAAAAUAGUAAGAGAAUGUGUCCUUUCUCUACUGAGACAAAUGAUGUGUAUUGGUACCUUAACCUGCAACUUAUUUCACCCUACUUUCUAAAAGCUUUGGAUAUACCAAAGUAACUUAG